CCUUGUCACCCUCACCCCGCUCCUGGACCCGCCCCCGGGCCCUGCGACCCCCAUCCCGUCAGCCAGCCCUCCCUCCAAUGAUCUCUCAUCCUGGGUCCCACGGGGGACCCAGGAACAGUUCAGGCCAUGUCCCCUGCCACUCCCCUGGGCCCCAUCUCCCAGAGGCAGCACUCUGACACCUCCCACCCCUCUGUCCUGCGUGGCUCCCGGCUGUCCACGGGGUUUUGUGGGGGGGGGGUCUGAGCUGACACCCUGUGUACCCCCUCCCGGUGUCUCUCCCGCCUGCAGAUGACGUGCUGCCCAUUUUCGCCUACCCGCACAAGCUGGGUAAGUCAGUCACCGGGGGCUACGUGUACCGGGGCUGCGAGAACCCCAACCUGAACGGCCUCUACAUUUUCGGGGACUUCAUGAGCGGGCGCCUCAUGUCCCUCCGAGAAAACCCAGGAACGGGCCAGUGGCGGUACAGUGAGGUCUGCAUGGGCCGAGGGCAGACCUGCGCUUUCCCAGGCCUCAUCAACAACUACUACCCACACAUCAUCUCCUUCGCAGAGGAUGAGGCUGGGGAGUUGUACUUCAUGUCCACAGGUGUGCCGAGUGCCACAGCAGCCUAUGGUGUUGUCUACAAAGUGAUCGACCCAUCCAGACGGGCACCACCUGGCAAGUGUCACAUCCAGCCUGCCCAGGUGAAAGUGAGGAGCCGCCUCAUCCCCUUUGUGCCCAAAGAAAGUAAGUGCCCACUGAGGGGUUCACUGUGGGGGGGGCUCUGCUGCUGCCUCCUGCUCCCCCUCCAGCCAGGACCAGGCCCCUCCUUGGUCACUGGGGCCAGAACCAUGCCUGGUACACAUUGGACACUUAGUUAAGUGGGGCAGAAAUGCACCGUAUGUGAGUUAGACUGGCCACAACUCAAACUAGGUCCUAGGCUGUGGGCAGGUGGUGCCUACUGGAAGGGGAAGAAAAGCCAGGCCGGG
rnacentral:lncRNA from 1 species